rnacentral:rRNA from 1 species
GACGAACGCUGGCGGCGUGCUUAACACAUGCAAGUCGAACGGAAAGGCCCUGCUUUUGUGGGGUGCUCGAGUGGCGAACGGGUGAGUAACACGUGAGUAACCUGCCCUUGACUUUGGGAUAACUUCAGGAAACUGGGGCUAAUACCGGAUAGGAGCUCCUGCUGCAUGGUGGGGGUCGGAAAGUUUCGGCGGUUGGGGAUGGACUCGCGGCUUAUCAGCUUGUUGGUGGGGUAGUGGCUUACCAAGGCUUUGACGGGUAGCCGGCCUGAGAGGGUGACCGGCCACAUUGGGACUAAGAUACGGCCCAGACUCCUACGGGAGGCAGCAGUGGGGAAUAUUGCGCAGUGAGCGGAAGCCUGAUGCAGCAACGCCGCGUGCGGAAUGACGGCCUUCGGGUUGUAAACCGCUUUCGCCUGUGACGAAGCGUGAGUGACGGUAAUGGGUAAAGAAGCACCGGCUAACUACGUG